rnacentral:rRNA from 1 species
GAUGAACGCUGGCGGUAUGCUUAACACAUGCAAGUCGAACGGCCUCUUCGGAGUUAGUGGCGGACGGGUGAGUAACGCGUGAGAAUCUGGCGUUGGGUUCGGGACAACCCCUGGAAACGGUGGCUAAUACCGGAUGUGUCGCGCGGUAACAGCGUAAUUGCCUGAAGAUGAGCUGGCGUCGGAUUAGCUAGUUGGUGAGGUAAAGGCCCACCAAGGAAGCGAUCAGUAGCUGGUCUGAGAGGCUGACCAGCCACACUGGAACUGAGACACGGGCCCGACGCCUACGGGAGGCAGCAGUGGGGAAUAUUGGAGAAUGGGCGCAAGCCUGAUCCAGCAAUACCGCGUGGGUGAAGAAGGCGUUCGGGUUGUAAAGCCCUUUUGUUGGGAAAGAAAAGCAGCAGGUUAAUACCCCGCUGUUCUGACGGUACCCAAAGAAUAAGCACCGGCUAACUUCGUG